rnacentral:rRNA from 1 species
GACGAACGCUGGCGGCGUGCCUAAUACAUGCCAGUCGAACGAGAGCGACCGGUGCUUGCACUGGUCAAUCUAGUGGCGAACGGGUGAGUAACACGUGGGUAACCUGCCCAUCAGAGGGGGAUAACAUCCGGAAACGGAUGCUAAAACCGCAUAGGUCUUCGAACCGCAUGGUUUGAAGAGGAAAAGAGGCGCAAGCUUCUGCUGAUGGAUGGACCCGCGGUGCAUUAGCUAGUUGGUGAGGUAACGGCCCACCAAGGCCGUGACGCAUAGCCGACCUGAGAGGGUGAUCGGCCACAUUGGGACUGAGACACGGCCCAAACUCCUACGGGAGGCAGCAGUAGGGAAUCUUCCGCAAUGGACGCAAGUCUGACGGAGCAACGCCGCGUGAGUGAAGAAGGUUUUCGGAUCGUAAAACUCUGUUGUUAGAGAAGAACAAGUGCUAGAGUAACUGUUAGCGCCUUGACGGUAUCUAACCAGAAAGCCACGGCUAACUACG